rnacentral:lncRNA from 1 species
CACAAUUUAACAUCAAACAUGCAAUUUGCAACUUCAAAUGACCAAACAGAACUAUCUCAAUCAAACCCAUAUCAAAACAAUUCAAUUAAUUCCACAAAAAUUCACACCUAAACAGGACACAUUCAAUGUAUAGCAUGUCAAUUUUCAGCUCAAUUGGACAAAAGAAAGUAGGUCAAUGAAAAUCAAGAAGUCCAGACACAUUUAAACAAGCCAA